rnacentral:siRNA from 1 species
GGAAGGGACGCAUUUAUUAG